CGAUGAAGGAGCUUGCUUCUGGAUUAGUGGCGAACGGGUGAGUAACACGUGAGUAACCUGCCCUUGACUCUGGGAUAAGCACUGGAAACGGUGUCUAAUACCGGAUACGAACCUCAGCCGCAUGGCUAGGGGUUGGAAAGAAUUUUGGUCAAGGAUGGACUCGCGGCCUAUCAGCUAGUUGGUGAGGUAACGGCCCACCAAGGCGACGACGGGUAGCCGGCCUGAGAGGGUGACCGGCCACACUGGGACUGAGACACGGCCCAGACUCCUACGGGAGGCAGCAGUGGGGAAUAUUGCACAAUGGGCGAAAGCCUGAUGCAGCAACGCCGCGUGAGGGACGACGGCCUUCGGGUUGUAAACCUCUUUUAGUAGGGAAGAAGCGAAAGUGACGGUACCUGCAGAAAAAGCACCGGCUAACUACGUGCCAGCAGCCGCGGUAAUACGUAGGGUGCAAGCGUUGUCCGGAAUUAUUGGGCGUAAAGAGCUCGUAGGCGGUUUGUCGCGUCUGCUGUGAAAACCCGAGGCUCAACCUCGGGCCUGCAGUGGGUACGGGCAGACUAGAGUGCGGUAGGGGAGAUUGGAAUUCCUGGUGUAGCGGUGGAAUGCGCAGAUAUCAGGAGGAACACCGAUGGCGAAGGCAGAUCUCUGGGCCGUAACUGACGCUGAGGAGCGAAAGCAUGGGGAG
rnacentral:rRNA from 1 species